rnacentral:rRNA from 1 species
CAAUAGCGUAUAUUAAAGUUGUUGCAGUUAAAAAGCUCGUAGUUGGAUUUCUGCGAUGUUUGGUUGGGUCCGUCUUCUUCGAAGAUGUGUACUAUGAACCAAAUUCGCAUGUUUUGUGAGGAGGAUCGUCUGGCAUUAAGUUGUCGGGUGGUUGGACUUGCAUCGUUUACUGUGAGAAAAUUAGAGUGUUUCAAGCAGGCUUUUUGCUUUGAAUACAUUAGCAUGGAAUAAUAAGAUACGACACUGGUGGUCUAUUUUGUUGGUUUGCACACCAGAGUAAUGAUUAAUAGGGACAGUUGGGGGUAUUCGUAUUCGUGUGGAAGAGGUGAAAUUCUUGGAUCACAGAAAGACGAGCUUAGGCGAAAGCAUUUACCAUGGAUGUUUUCAUUAA